ACUAGUUAACUUAUCUAAGUUAUUAUUGGUACUGUUACAAUGUGCUUGUAUUGAACCAUCUAUCCAAGUUUAUUACUAACUCUAUAUGUGUUUCUCUGCACGUAUGCUUGCCUAUACAUCUAUUUGCUUUAUGGACAUGACUCUUGUGUUUGUUUGCUUGUUAUACUAUGACAAUUGCAAUGCUUAUUUAGGCUACUAGGUUGUGUGCUUGUGCUUGUGGUAAACAAACUGAAGGUACAUGUUUGAUCCCUGUACAUCUUGUUGUAAACUUUGUGCAACCUACACCGCUCAACAUGAGGUGCUGCAAGAAAAUGAAACAUACUUAUUUUGCAAAAGAAGGCAACAGGGCACACACAACAAAUUGGAAGUGGACAAGCGCAUGGCAAAAGCAGGAAUGCGACCACAAGCAAGCGGAUGAGGAGAUGUGUAUUUAUCUAGCUGUGCACACUAUUUUCAGUCAACAAGUGACCAGAAACUAAACAAUCCUGGCACUUAUCUAGCUGUACUGGCAGCUCCUUCCUCCAGGGAUGAUGCUACAAUUCUGUCAACAGGUUCUUUAUGAUGGGUUUUGCUACAGAAGUUGACAGAGGUUUGGAAGAUCUUCAAACUGCUGAAGAUUUGGAAGACCUACGAUUAAGUUGGUGCAUUGAUCAUGUAAUAUGCUUUGUUUGUUGAACCUGGACGCUUGCUCUGCUCAUUUUGCUGGUUAAGCCACUAUAUGCUCAUUUUAGUUGUGUGGCACCCUCAGAAAGAUAUGUACUUUCUCCUUUUGUGGCACUACUUCAGUUUGGUUGUGGCACAUUUAACAUAUAUGUACUAUACUUGUGGCAGAAC